rfam:Camelus ferus unplaced genomic scaffold scaffold726, whole genome shotgun sequence.
UUGCUUUAUUCUCACAAGCUUGUGGGCUCCACCUGCCCAUCCUCUAGGCAAACGCCCAUCUGACUCUCAUUAUGGCCACAUAACAAGAAAGACAGCCGCAAUAAAACUCACGGUAUAGAAGAAUAUUU